AGUAACGAUAAAGCGGGUGAAAAGCCCGCUCGCCGGAAGACCAAGGGUUCCUGUCCAACGUUAAUCGGGGCAGGGUGAGUCGACCCCUAAGGCGAGGCCGAAAGGCGUAGUCGAUGGGAAACAGGUUAAUAUUCCUGUACUUGGUGUUACUGCGAAGGGGGGACGGAGAAGGCUAUGUUGGCCGGGCGACGGUUGUCCCGGUUUAAGCGUGUAGGCUGGUUUUCCAGGCAAAUCCGGAAAAUCAAGGCUGAGGCGUGAUGACGAGGCACUACGGUGCUGAAGCAACAAAUGCCCUGCUUCCAGGAAAAGCCUCUAAGCAUCAGGUAACAUCAAAUCGUACCCCAAACCGACACAGGUGGUCAGGUAGAGAAUACCAAGGCGCUUGAGAGAACUCGGGUGAAGGAACUAGGCAAAAUGGUGCCGUAACUUCGGGAGAAGG
rnacentral:rRNA from 1 species